rnacentral:rRNA from 1 species
UACGUAGGGGGCAAGCGUUGUCCGGAUUUAUUGGGCGUAAAGAGCGUGUAGGCGGCCAUACAGGUCAGCUGUGAAAACUCGAGGCUCAACCUCGAGACGUCGGUUGAAACCGUUUGGCUAGAGUCCGGAAGAGGAGAGUGGAAUUCCCGGUGUAGCGGUGAAAUGCGCAGAUAUCGGGAAGAACACCCGUGGCGAAGGCGGCUACCUGGACCGGUUCUGACGCUGAGGCGCGAAAGCGUGGGUAGCAAACAGG